rnacentral:rRNA from 1 species
GACGAACGCUGGCGGCGCGCUUAACACAUGCAAGUCGAACGGAAAGGCCUGCUUUCCCUUGUGUUUUGCGGGUACUCGAGUGGCGAACGGGUGAGUAACACGUGAGUGAUCUGCCCCCAACUUGGGUAUAAGCCUGGGAAACUGGGUCUAAUUACCGAUAGGACUGCAGGGUGGUGCCUGUGGUGGAACACGAUUUUCUAGUGGUUGGGGAUGAGCUCGGGGCCUAUGCGCUUGUUGGUGGGGUACUGGCCUACCAAGGCGAAGACGGGUAGCCGGCCUGGGCGGGGGAGGGUGGACGGCGGCAUUGGGACUGGGAUACGGCCCAGACGCCUGCGAGAGGCAGCAGUGGGGAAUAAUGGACAAUGAGCGGAAGCCUGAUGCAGCGACGCCGUGUGGGGGAUGACGGCCUUGGGGUUGUAAACUCCUGUCGACCGCGAGGAAGCCACCUGGUUGGAAGGGUGGUGACGGUAGUGGUAGAAGAAGCACCGGCUAACUACGUG